AGAGUUUGAUCCUGGCUCAGGAUGAACGCUAGCGAUAGGCUUAACACAUGCAAGUCGAGGGGCAGCAUAUUCAAAGCUUGCUUUGAAUGAUGGCGACCGGCGCACGGGUGCGUAACGCGUAUGCAACUUACCUGUCAGAGGGGAAUAACCCGGUGAAAGCCGGACUAAUACCGCAUACACUAAUUUUUUCGCCUGGAUUAAUUAAGAAAGAUUUAUCGCUGACAGAUAGGCAUGCGUCCCAUUAGCUUGUCGGUGAGGUAACGGCUCACCAAGGCAACGAUGGGUAGGGGAACUGAGAGGUUUAUCCCCCACACUGGUACUGAGACACGGACCAGACUCCUACGGGAGGCAGCAGUGAGGAAUAUUGGUCAAUGGGCGAGAGCCUGAACCACCCACGUCGCGUGAAGGAAGACGGUUCUAUGGAUUGUAAACUUCUUUUAUACGGGAUUAAAGUUUGCCACGAGUGGCAAUUUGCAGUUACCGAAUGAAAAAGCAUCGGCUAACUCCGCGCCAACCCCCCCGGUAAUAACGGAGGAUGCGAACGUUAUUUCGGAUUUAUUGGGUUUAAAAGGGGGCGAAGGGGCGAUAUCAUUCCCCGGAAAAAACUAAGGCCCCAACCCUUUUUCCGUGCCUUUAAAUCUGUUUGUCUGGAAAAAUAAGAAGGUAGGCCGGAAUGGCGUGGGUGUAGCGGUAAAAUGCAAAAAAUUCCCCAAAAAUUCCAUUUGCAAAAGGCGCUU
rnacentral:rRNA from 1 species